UCCCUCGUGUCACAACAUGGUGGUUCCUUUAGUUGCAAUGACACCCGCCGCUUGUUAGCUCUUUUGAAAGCCUACAUUGAAGGGGUUUUCUUUGUUUAUUUAUUUAUCUAUUCUUUCCCGGAGUCAUGCCGCGGUACGAGCUGGCUCUGAUCCUGAAGACCAUGCAGCGGCCCGAGACGGCGGCCGUGGUCCGGAGGACGGUGGAGACUCUGCUGGAGCGGGGCGCCGUGGUGAGGGACCUGGAGAACCUGGGGGAGAGACUGCUGCCUUACAAGAUGAACAAACACAACCAGAAGCACUCUAGGGGGACUUACUUUCUGGUGGACUUCCACGCAUCCCCCGACAUGCUCACCGGCCUCAUGGAUCACCUGCACCGCGACGUGGACGUGGUGAGGCCCACCGUCCUGAAGAAGGACGACACGGUCUCGAAAAGCAACUGCUGCGGACCCCGGACCUGACUGCUGCAUGUAAGAAGGUCCCCAGAGCCAUCUGUCCCUCAGCUGAUCCCAGCUGGCUGCAGGCAAGGUUGACUCGGCUCGUGUCCUGCAGAUGUACAGACGAUUCUUCCCUCUUUGAUGUGCUGUCACUUUUCAUUUGCCUGUAAAGUCAUGUAAACCUAAAAUAAACUACUUUUUUUUCUGUCUAAG